rnacentral:lncRNA from 1 species
AACUAAUUACGGACUCUCUCAUUUGCUACAACACACAACAUGCAUACACCCAUUAGAUCGAAAAAUGUACACCAACUGAAGCAUGCACACAAUGACCAACAGAAAUAUACUACUGGCUAGUACUAAUUUAAGCAGGGAGGCACCAUUAUAUUAGCGCUAGCGCCACUACUACAUCAACAGCAACUAAUUGACCAACUAACUACACUAGGUACAUCAUCUGCCACCAACUUAAAACUACUUUCCAAAAGUAAGUCCAGACUGAACCAUACAUGCAAUCAUGCCAUCGGAAACACAACUAAACUGAACCAACUACUAGUAGGAGUACUAGCAUGCACCCUGCUGCCCUGCUUCUUACGGAGGGAUCUUCACUUGUUAACAUGUACACU